GAGAUGCUAAGCCACUGCAAACAGGAACUGAGCAGGGAGAUCAUUGUGCAUUAUUAUUUUUAAAAAUAUUUUUAUUAAAGAUUUUAUUUUGAGGGGAUAUUUACUGUGAUCUUUUGUGAGCACCAUAUUAGUUUCUGGCAGGCACACACUGGGAAUCCUUGUAUUAAGCAGAUUCCAACUGAACUACCUAAUCCAGCUCUCCUGGCACAGAAGCCAAUCCACACAGUUCCACUGUGUGUAUGAACACUGAAGCCACACAAGGAACACCAGUUACACAGGUCUUUCUAAUCUAGUCAUUGCUGGAGGGAUGUAUAAAUGGAGCAAUUGUUAGCACCGAAUCUGGGAGGUUACCUGUCUAAUUUCCAUAUUCUAUCUCAUGGUCACAUUUCAGUGUCAUAGUUUCACAUGAAUAAAACAAUGCACUGAGGGAUCGUAGCUACAUCAGUAAAGAGGUUGGAGGUAGGAAGGAUUCAAGUUGUCUUCAAUGGCAGCCUCAUGUAGUGUGCACUGCAACAAUCCAAUCUGGAAGUUACCAGAGCAGGCAUAGGCAAACUUGGCCCUCCAGAUGUAUUGGGACUACAAUUCCCAUCAUCCCUGACCACUGGUCCUGUUAGCUAGGGAUCAUGAGAGUUGUAGUCCCCAAAAAUAUGGAGGGCUGAGUUUGCCUAUGCCUGUAACCAGAGCAUGGAGUAAAGUGGCCUGAUCCACUCUCCAAAAGGGGUUUCUGCUGGCAAAUCAGAGAAAAGGCACUCCUAGCCAUCAAGGCCACCUGCGUCUCCAAGAACACCCCCAAAAUGCCUCUCCACCUCCUGGACUGAGAACUCUGUUUUGUUUGUUUUUUCAGAAUUCAGUGUUCAAUGAAUGCCCCAUGUUUGUAUGUCCUGCAGCAUUGAUUCUGAAUGUCCCUCUAUACACCCUCCUUGCAGUUCAGUUCCUCUCCUUACUCCAUGUCUCUCUUUCCUGCUUACCAAAAGAUAACCUGUACAGAAUCUAAACUGGGUGGCUGGUUUCUUGCCAUUGGUGAGUCAGCAACAUCACUUUGAGAGGAAGGGGUUUGGUUCCCUAGUCACAGCCAUCACCAAAAACAUUUGGAAAUUAAUGAACUACUUCCAGGAACACCAUGUCUUUUCUGGAGCAGUGGGGACAUAAAUUCAGCUGCCAGUUGUGCAAUCAAAUACACACACAGUACAAACCUUGCCAGCAUCCGAGCAAAAUAAAAGCAUUUGUGAGUAAACAUUCACAAAAUGAAUGAACAGUACUGGCAGAGUUCUCAUUUGAUGGGGUCUGAGAGCAAGCACCUUGGAAAAAAACAAGUGCCAACAUUUGCUGGAAUGUUUGUGUCAAUAUUUAAGGUCGCAUUUCUCUGCCAGAAAGUGUUGCUACAACUGGGGCAAAAAUACAGCUAGAAAAGGAUAUUGCAGAGAUAGACAAGGCUAAGAAAAAGGCAACCAACACGAUCAAGGGACUGGAGAAACUCCCCUCUGGGGGAAAAAAAGAUUGCCUCAUUUGGGACUUUUGAAUUUAGCAAGAGAAAGAAAGAAACCGCUUGUGAUGCAACAUGACCCCUUCAGGGCAGAUAGGACAGUUUAACUUCAUUGUCUGCUCCCUCCUCCCACAUUCCACCUUAAGAUGAUGACUAAAUGCAGACUCUCGGCAUCACUAUGAGCCCAGCUCUAGGUGGAGUCCCGGUGGCGUGGGGCGCCAGGGCGCCGGACUUGCGGGGGGGCGCUGCAUGGCAAAGCUGCAUGGAAGCCAUGCUGCGUGCUGCGAGGGCGGGG